CAAGGCGUAGCUUAAAUAAAGCAUCUAGUUUACACCUAGAAGAUUUCACAGCCCGUGCACACCUUGA
rnacentral:tRNA from 1 species